rnacentral:sRNA from 1 species
AAAAAAGAUAGUGGGGAAAACUAUUAAACUAAGAAUGGUGCUCACACCUUUAUAGAUUGAUCUUCUUUUCAGAGAACCACACACAUGGCGACACAGUCCACUACCAACACGUCCUAAAGUCAUUGUUCCUCUCAGGAAUACGAGGAUUUUGAAUAAUUAACUGCAGCGGAAGAAAUACGGUGGAAUGAGGAAGUGUUAUGCACAAAAAUGUUAUAUUAUGAUGGUUAAGUAAUUUAGGAAAUUCUUAUAACUAAAGUGUAAUUAUUAAUAUUUAGAGGCCAAUCAUAUUUAGUUAUAUGUACGUAUAUCAUGGAUGAC